rnacentral:lncRNA from 1 species
AAUGGUUUUUGGCCACACUGAAGCCAUGGCCGGUUUCCCUGGGAAGUCAACAGAAGCUUGGCAGGUGCAUAGAGCUCUCGGCAGGGCAGAGAGCAAGAGGAGACGGGAGCUCAGAAGGUCAUUGUAAAAUUUUGGACACCUUUCUGCGGCUUUCAUAACUCAAACCCAAAACAGUGCUUGGGAAUUGGGGUGAAUUUUGAUUUGGGAGUUGGAGGUUCUGGUAGUUCUCUUCGGCUAAGAUCUUGUAACACGGGGAGAGAGCCUCUGUUCUUGAAGUAAAUAGGUAUCCGUACGCAAAAUGGAUCUCACCUGGGAGUGGGGGCACGGCCCACGUGUGCCCAUGAUGACCCACGGACACCAGAUUUCUCUGAGGGGGUCCACAGGCCUUUGGCCAGCAGCGAGCAAGUCCAUGAGGAGCAAUCUGACGUGUGGACCGAAGCACAAUGUGGCUUUUCUUCUCUUUGCAUUUCUUUGUUUUGAUCAUACCAUUCAUGUUCUUUAUCAAAAUGCCUUUCUCCAGUUUCCGCAGCCCAGCGGUUUGAACGUUUGCAUGAAGUAGACACGUAUCACUACAUAUGAACCGUGAAAUGUAUUUGAAAAUAAAUGUUUUAAUUAAAAUUGACAUUUCUGAG